CACGAGAAAUUCCUUCGGGAAUGCGGACAGUGGCGAACUGGUGAGUAACACGUGAACAACCUGCCCUUACAUUCCGGAUAGCCGGCCGAAAGGCCGGAUAAUACGGGCGAGGAUCUUUUUAAGGCAUCUUAGAAAGAAGGAAGGCGCAAGCCGUGCAAGGAGGGGUUCGCGGACUAUCAGGUAGUUGGUGAGGUAACGGCUCACCAAGCCGACGACGGAUAGCUGGUCUGAGAGGAUGGUCAGCCACACUGGGACUGAGACACUGCCCAGACUCCUACGGGAGGCUGCAGUCGAGAAUCUUGGACAAUGUACGAAAGUAUGAUCCAGCGACGCCGCGUGGAGGAUGAAGGAGCUAUGCUUCGUAAACUCCUUUUAUGAGGGAAGAAGAUCUGACGGUACCUCAUGAAUAAGCCACGGCUAACUACGUGCCAGCAGCCGCGGUAAUACGUAGGUGGCAAGCGUUGUCCGGAAUUACUGGGCGUAAAGGGUGUGUAGGCGGAUAUUUAAGUAGAAAGUGAAAGGUUGGAGCUCAACUCCAACAUUGCUUCCUAUACUGGAUGUCUUGAGUUUCGGAGAGGAAGAUGGAACGACACGUGUAGCGGUGAAAUGCGUUGAUAUGUGUCGGAACACCAAUAGCGAAGGCAAUCUUCUGGACGAAUACUGACGCUGAGACACGAAAGCAUGGGUAGCGAACAGGAUUAGAUACCCUGGUAGUCCAUGCCCUAAACGAUGUUCACUAGGUGUCGGGGAUUUUUCUUC
rnacentral:rRNA from 1 species